AGCGUAGGCGGACAUUUAAGUCAGAGGUGAAAUCCCGGAGCUUAACUUCGGAACUGCCUUUGAUACUGAGUGUCUUGAGUGUGAGAGAGGUAUGUGGAACUCCGAGUGUAGAGGUGAAAUUCGUAGAUAUUCGGAAGAACACCAGUGGCGAAGGCGACAUACUGGCUCAUUACUGACGCUGAGGCUCGAAAGCGUGGGGAGCAAACA
rnacentral:rRNA from 1 species